rnacentral:rRNA from 1 species
AGUGAUCGCUGGCGGUAGGCCUAACACAUGCAAGUCGAACGGCAGCACAGGAGAGCUUGCUCUCUGGGUGGCGAGUGGCGGACGGGUGAGGAAUACAUCGGAAUCUACUCUGUCGUGGGGGAUAACGUAGGGAAACUUACGCUAAUACCGCAUACGACCUACGGGUGAAAGCAGGGGACCUUCGGGCCUUGCGCGAUUGAAUGAGCCGAUGUCGGAUUAGCUAGUUGGCGGGGUAAAGGCCCACCAAGGCGACGAUCCGUAGCUGGUCUGAGAGGAUGAUCAGCAACACUGGAACUGAAACACGGUCCAGACUCCUAAGGGAGGCAGCAGUGGGGAAUAUUGGACAAUGGGCGCAAGCCUGAUCCAGCCAUACCGCGUGGGUGAAGAAGGCCUUCGGGUUGUAAAGCCCUUUUGUUGGGAAAGAAAUCCAGCUGGCUAAUACCCGGUUGGGAUGACGGUACCCAAAGAAUAAGCACCGGCUAACUUCGUGCCAGCCGCCGCGGUAA